rnacentral:rRNA from 1 species
GACGAACGCUGGCGGCGUGCUUAACACAUGCAAGUCGAACGGAAAGGCCCUGCUUGCAGGGUACUCGAGUGGCGAACGGGUGAGUAACACGUGGGUGAUCUGCCCUGCACUUCGGGAUAAGCUUGGGAAACUGGGUCUAAUACAGGAUAGGAAACAUCUUUAGUGUGGUGGUUGGAAAGUUUUUUAGGUGUAGGAUGAGCUCGCGGCCUAUCAGCUUGUUGGUGGGGUAAUGGCCUACCAAGGCGGCGACGGGUAGCCGGCCUGAGAGGGUGUACGGCCACAUUGGGACUGAGAUACGGCCCAGACUCCUACGGGAGGCAGCAGUGGGGAAUAUUGCACAAUGGGCGCAAGCCGGAUGCAGCGACGCCGCGUGGGGGAUGAAGGCCUUCGGGUUGUAAACUCCUUUCGCUAGGGACGAAGCUUUGUUGUGACGGUACCUAUAUAAGAAGCACCGGCUAACUACGU